AUUUGAAAUUCCAAGUGACAAAAUAUCUGGACAGGCUACAUUAAGGAACUGGAUCCAGUGGGCUGUGGCAUGACAGAGAUGGCCAUGUGGAACUUCUGUGUUAAGCACAGAAUUCCCUUUAGUCUCAAAUGAUGCCCUAGCCACAACUAUCCCACAGAUAU